GAUGAACGCUGGCGGCGUGCUUAACACAUGCAAGUCGAACGGAAAGGCCGAACCUUGCUUCUGUACUCGAGUGGCGAACGGGUGAGUAACACGUGGGUGAUCUGCCCUGUACUUAGGGAUAAGCUUGGGAAACUGGGUCUAAUACCGGAUAUGACGAUCCCUUGGAUGGGGUCGUGGAAAGCUUUUGCGGUAUGGGAUGAGCUCGCGGCCGACCAGCUUGUAGGUGGGGGAGUGGCCUACCAAGGCGUCGACGGGUAGCCGGCCUCAGAGGAGGUCCGGCACCCUUGGACCUGAGAUGCAGCCCAGAGUCCGGCACGGGGCAGCAGUGUGGAAUAUUGUACAAUAGGCGCGGGACUGAUGCAGCGGCGCCGCGUGGGGGAUGACGGCCUUCGGGUUGUAAACUCCUGUCGCAAUCGGCAAAGCCUUUUGGUGACGGUAGGUUGAGAAGAAGCACCGGCUAACUACGUG
rnacentral:rRNA from 1 species